AAAGGGAGAUUAAAGGAAAGGGUUUUAUAACUAUAAUAAUUAGGGUUUAUCAUCAUCAUCUUCAUCAUUUUCCUUCAAGAACACAAAUUUUGGUUUUGGAUAGACGUGGAGACUAGACUGCUCACUUUCUCGGACUACUCAUACUUUUAGCUCUUUGAUCGCUAAGGUAACCAACAGUAAGUGAUCAUCUUGGCAUUAUAAGGCCAUGCUUUUGACUUUGGACGUAUAAUUAGC